GGGAUAUGGCGAAAUUGGUAGACGCUACGGAC
rnacentral:tRNA from 1 species